rnacentral:lncRNA from 1 species
AUGGAAAAUAUGACAAUAGGCUGUACUUAUGUUAGAUUUAUAACAUUAGCAUUCUACAACGUAUCUUUAAAUUGUUGUCUGUCUAUCUAUCUAUCUAUCUAUCUAUCUAUCUAUCUAUCUAUCUAUCUAUCUAUCUAUCUAUCUAUCUAUUAUCUAUCUAUCAAUGCUAGUGGUCUCAAAAGCCAAUUAGGACAGAUCCCACACAGCAGGGUUUAUAGCUGGUUAUGAGCUGCCUGAUGCUGACACUUGGAGUUGAACUUGUGUUAUCUGGAAGAAAGGCAGCUUCUCAUAAUCAUUAACCAUCUCUUAAGCCUCUAAUCACAUUUUAAUUAAUAGUUUAAUUCUAGGAUCAAGUUGGUAAGAUGGUAGAACUACUAAUUUAUUUUUAUUUUAUUAUUACGGAGAAAACAUGUCACCAUGUUCUCCAAGGCAUUUGCUGCAAUGAUAUUUCAAAUUGCCAAGUCAUAAGUGGAAGUAUUACUUUAUUAAAGGACAGUGUAUAUGAGUUUCAUGUCCAUCAUGAAACAGGAGUACAAAAAUUUAAAAAUAAAGAUUUAAAAAUAAAAAUAUAUAGUACCAUAUACAUAAUAUAUAUGUGUGUGUGAGUGUGCAUGUGUGUGUGAUAAAAAAAGGUUGCUAAAAUAGAUUAAUUUAUAUUAGUGAGCCAUUAAAAUACAAAGUAAUAAUUUUAUAAGUGACAUUACAUUUGUGAAAAACUGUAAAUAGUUAUAUUUUUAUUUUUUGUGAGAUUGUAAAAUAUAUUCCACUUCUCCCUCUGUACAAAUAGAUCUAGGGCAGACCCACUGACAUAUGAUGGUAUAAGUGAAAAGAUGAUGUAUUCCUUAUUGCAUGAAUAUUUCCUGAUCAGUUCAUAUGAUGCUACUUGUAUAUAUAUGUUUUCAGGGCUGAGAUUAUUGUAUUGAAUAUCCUAUUGGUGCAUUGGUGGGUUCCGACUAUGUCUCCAGCUCUCUGCAUCCCUCAGUUGCCUGUUAUUUCUUUUGUAGGGAUGAAACCUCUGUGUGCUUACAGCCUCGAUGUCUCUUGCGGUGUCUUGUUCAGGUCAUGGUAGGCACCUGUUUUAGCGAGGAUUUAUGUACUUUUUUCUUAAUUUUAAAGGCAAUGUUCUUGUACUGGGAGAUAAAGAGCAGGUUUAAGACAAAUGUGCAAUCUUAAUGACCUCAAGUUUAUUACUUUUAUCGUCAUAGAUUUACUAAGUAUAACACUAAGUCUCAUGAGGAUGUUUUCAUACAAACAUGUAGCAUAUGCAGACAAUGAUCUUUUCAAGCAUCCAUUCUUUUCAUUUAUCCCACUCCAGUCAGUCUUCUUGAUCCCCGUGGAAGACUUCCUUACAUUUUUAUAUGUGCAUAUGUUAUAGUUGUAUAUAUAUAAAAUCUAUCCACAAAAGAAAGAAAAUAUAGGACAACAUAUUCAUCUUUCUGAACCCACUUUUUUUUUCUUUCUUUUUUAAGGUUUUUUCAAUUUUUAAAAUUUUAUAUUAGAUAUUUUCUUUAUUUACAUUUCAAAUGUUAUCCCCUUUCCUGGUUUCACCUCCAAAAAUCCCCUAUUCCUCCCCCCCCUGCUCCCCAACCCACCCACUCCUGCUUCUUGGCCCUGGCAUUCUCCUAUACUGGGGCAUAGAAUCUUCACAGGACCAAGGGCCUCUCCUCCUAUUGACGACUGACUAGGCCAUCCUCUGCUACAUAUGCAGCUAGAGCCAUGAGUUCCACCAUGUGUUUUCUUUGGUUGGUGGUUUUAGUCCCUGGGAGCUCUGGGGGGGUAUUGAUUAGUUCAUAUUGUUGUUCCUCCUAUGGGGCUGCAAACCCCUUCAGCUCCCUGGGUACUUUCUCUAGCUCCUUCUUUGGGGACCCUGUGCUCUGUCCCAUGGAUGGCUGUGAACAUCCACUUCUGUAUUUGUCAGGCACUGGCAGAGCCUUUCAGGAGACAGCUAUAUCCGGCUCCUGUCAGCAAGCUCUUGUUGGCAUCCACAAUAAUGUCUGUAUAGUUGUGUGGAGUUUAGAACUGUGAUGUGAUUUCAAAGUACUGCUUGAAACAAUCACAAGGAGUAGGAUGGGUUGGCAGUGAUGGGUGUUAAGAGAUAGGGCUGGUUGGCAGAAUUACCUUAAAAAGCAGGGUAAAUUUGUUUUCUUGCCAACAUGAUUGCCUAUACAUGAGCUGAAAAUGACAGUAACAAUAGACAUUCAAAAGUAUAUUGGGAAAACCCAGAAGGUAUCAUCUCUACACUGAGUAAACUAUUGAAUGUUGAGAAUAGGAGAAUAGUUUACUCCAAAACAGAGUAUACCAAUUGAUUCCUGAAUAUCAAGUGGUCAGCUCUGAAAACACAUGUAUAAGUAACAUUAUACCAACAUAUAUGCAUAUAUAUGAAUUUGAAAGAGCGAGGAGCAGUAUAUAUGAGGGUUUGGAGUGAGG